rnacentral:rRNA from 7 species
GCUUUUCUCGCAUUUAUGCCCUUCCUCGUUCAUGGUUUGAAAUUCUGGUGUCCCAGGCAUAGAGGAACCACACCAACCCAUCCCGAACUUGGUGGUUAAACUCUACUGCGGUGACGAUACUGUAGGGGGAGCCCUGCGGGAAAAUAGCUCGGUGCCAGGAU